UACAGAAGGUGCAAGCGUUAAUCGGAACUACUGGGCGUAAAGCGCGCGUAGGCGGCUGAUUAAGUCGGAUGUGAAAGCCCCGGGCUCAACCUGGGAACUGCAUUCGAUACUGAUCGGCUAGAGUAUGAGAGAGGGAGGUAGAAUUCCACGUGUAGCGGUGAAAUGCGUAGAUAUGUGGAGGAAUACCGGUGGCGAAGGCGGCCUCCUGGCUUAAUACUGACGCUGAGGUGCGAAAGCGUGGGAGCAAACAGG
rnacentral:rRNA from 1 species